rnacentral:RNase_P_RNA from 1 species
UAAGUAAGGAAGGUGGUCGCAGAAGGCAUAUUGUCCUUCUGAGGAAAGUCCGGACUCCUGGGAGCAGGGUGCUUGGGAAAUCCAAGCGGGGGUGACCCCAGGGAAAGUGCCACAGAAAAUAGACCGCUAACCAAUGGUUAGCAAGGGUGAAAAGGUGGUGUAAGAGACCACCGGUAGUCCUGGUGACAGGGCUAUGCAUGGCAAACCCCACCUGGAGCAAGGCCAAAUAGGGUAGCAAAGAGAUGCUCCCCUCACGCUACCGGGUUGGCCGCUGAGAUAAAUGACUGCCGCCUCUUUUGAGGAACAGAAUCCGGCUUAUUCCUUACUUAAGGC